CGGACGGGUGAGUAAUGUAUAGGAACUUGCCUAGUAGUGGGGGAUAACGUGUGGAAACGCACGCUAAUACCGCAUACGCUCUACGGAGGAAAGCGGGGGAUCUUCGGACCUCGUGCUACUAGAUGGGCCUAUAUCAGAUUAGCUAGUCGGUAAGGUAAUGGCUUACCAAGGCGACGAUCUGUAGCUGGUUUGAGAGAAUGAUCAGCCACACUGGGACUGAGACACGGCCCAG
rnacentral:rRNA from 1 species